rnacentral:rRNA from 1 species
AGUUCGGAUUGUAGUCUGNAACCCGACUACAUGAAGCUGGAAUCGCUAGUAAUCGCGAAUCAGAAUGUCGCGGUGAAUACGUUCCCGGGUCUUGUACACACCGCCCGUCACACCAUGGGAGUCGGAAAUGCCCGAAGUCAGUGACCCAACCGUAAGGAGGGAGCUGCCGAAGGUGGAGCCGGUAACUGGGGUGAAGUCGUAACAAGGUACC